rnacentral:rRNA from 1 species
CUACCCUUGACAUGUCCGGAAGCCUGCUGAAAGGCGGGUGUGCCCGAAAGGGAACUGGAACACAGGUGCUGCAUGGCUGUCGUCAGCUCGUGUCGUGAGAUGUUGGGUUAAGUCCCGCAACGAGCGCAACCCUUGUCCUUAGUUGCUACGCAAGGGCACUCUAAGGAGACUGCCGGUGACAAACCGGAGGAAGGUGGGGAUGACGUCAAGUCCUCAUGGCCCUUAUGGGUAGGGCUUCACACGUCAUACAAUGGACGGUACAGAGGGUCGCCAACCCGCGAGGGGGAGCCAAUCCCGAUAAAGCCGUUCGUAGUCCGGAUUGCAGUCUGCAACUCGACUGCAUGAAGUCGGAAUCGCUAGUAAUCGCGGAUCAGCAUGCCGCGGUGAAUACGUUCCC